rnacentral:rRNA from 1 species
GACGAACGCUGGCGGCGUGCUUAACACAUGCAAGUCGUACGGUAAGGCCCUUUCGGGGGUACACGAGUGGCGAACGGGUGAGUAACACGUGAGUAACCUGCCCACCACUUUGGGAUAACGCUAGGAAACUGGUGCUAAUACUGGAUAUGUGCUCCUGCUGAAUGGUGGGGGUUGGAAAGCUCCGGCGGUUGUGGAUGGACUCGCGGCCUAUCAGCUUGUUGGUGGGGUAGUGGCCUACCAAGGCGGCGACGGGUAGCCGGCCUGAGAGGGUGACCGGCCACAUUGGGACUGAGAUACGGCCCAGACUCCUACGGGAGGCAGCAGUGGGGAAUAUUGCACAAUGGGCGCAAGCCUGAUGCAGCAACGCCGCGUGCGGGAUGACGGCCUUCGGGUUGUAAACCGCUUUCAGCAGGGACGAAGCUUUUUGUGACGGUACCUUCAGAAGAAGCACCGGCUAACUACGUG